rnacentral:rRNA from 1 species
UACGUAGGGUGCAAGCGUUGUCCGGAAUUAUUGGGCGUAAAGAGCUCGUAGGCGGUCUGUCGCGUCGGAUGUGAAAACCCAGGGCUCAACCCUGGGCCUGCAUUCGAUACGGGCAGACUAGAGUUCGGUAGGGGAGACUGGAAUUCCUGGUGUAGCGGUGAAAUGCGCAGAUAUCAGGAGGAACACCGGUGGCGAAGGCAGGUCACUGGGCCGCAACUGACGCUGAGGAGCGAAAGCAUGGGGAGCGAACAGG